CCUACGGGAGACAGCAGUGAGGAAUAUUGGUCAAUGGACGAGAGUCUGACCCAGCCAAGUCGCGUGAAGGAUGACUGCUUUAUGGGUUGUAAACUUCUUUUAUAAAGGAAUAAAACGAGGCACGUGUGCCUUUUUCCCUGUCCUUCAUGAAUACGGAUCGGCUAACUCCGCGCCAGCAGCCGCGGUAAUACGGAGGGUCUGAGCGUGAUCCGGAUUUAUUGGGUUUAAAGGGUCCGUAGAUGGGUUGUUAAGUCAGUUGUGAAAGUUUGCGGCUCAACCGUAAAAUUGCAGUGGAUACUGGCAGUCUUGAGUACAGUUGAGGUAGGCGGAAUUCGUGGUGUAGCGGUGAAAUGCUUAGAUAUCACGAAGAACCCCGAUUGCGAAGGCAGCUUACUAAACUGUGACUGACAUUGAUGCACGAAAGUGUGGGUAUCAAACAGGAUUAGAUACCCUUGUAGUC
rnacentral:rRNA from 1 species